GGGUCCGUAGCUCACCUGGGAGAGCGCCUCCAUGGCAUGGAGGAGGUAACGAGUUCGAUCCUCGUCGGAUCCACCA
rnacentral:tRNA from 1 species